GAGAGAGAGAGAGAGAGAGAGAGAGAAAGAGAGUGAGAGACAGAGAUAGAGAGAGAGAGACAGAGAGAGAGAGAGAGAGAGAGAUUGGCAGACGACAGAUGAGCAGACACCUCGGUCUUACAAAACACUCUGACGUUUCUAAAACUGUUUGAAUGAUGUCUGUGAGUCUAACAGAAUAGCAGGCACCUCUGAAAAACAACGAUCCUGAGAGCAUCCGAUGAAGAUGAACACGGCAGUAAGGGAUGUCAAGACGGCUAAGAUAUGCUGACCCUGGUGUCCAAGACUUCUUACACACCUCAAGUCCCUGCUGCACCUGGAUGCUGCUGCUCGUCUGACAGUCUACGACGGACUCACAGCAGAGAGACUGUGACCAAUAUACAGCAGGGUCACAGGAGCCAACCCUUCUCCAGAGACUGUCAGUCGACAGGGGUUCUCCUCCAGAAAAGAAGUCCGCCAGGAAUUAGCUUUUUUGGGGAAGUUGUUCACGACCCAGGAGCAGAGAACCAAGUCAAAGGUCAAGGUCGUAGAGGACAGGGAAGUGGACUGUAUUCCCCUGGAUGCUGAUCCAUUUACAUGGUAGAAGACCAAAGGGUUAAUAUAUCCUCAUGUUGCCAUGUUAGCAAGGCUCUACCUGGCUGUGCCUGGGACCUCUGUCCCUAUCGAGAAGCUGUUCUCCACAGCGGCUGACAUUGUCACAGCUACCUGGCUGUGCCUGGGACCUCUGUCCCUAUCGAGAAGCUGUUCUCCACAGCGGCUGACAUUGUCACAGCUACAUGGCUGUGCUUACUGCAUAUCAUGUUGAUAGACUGAUCUUCUGAAAAGAAGAACUUGAAAGAAGAACUUGAAAACAUAUAUAUAUAUAUAUAUAUUU